UACGUAGGGUGCAAGCGUUGUCCGGAAUUACUGGGCGUAAAGAGCGUGUAGGCGGUUUGGUAGGUCCGCUGUGAAAACUCGAGCUCAACCUCGAGACGCCGGUGGAAACCAUCAGACUAGAGUCCGGAAGAGGAGAGUGGAAUUCCUGGUGUAGCGGUGAAAUGCGCAGAUAUCAGGAAGAACACCCGUGGCUAAGGCGGCUCUCUAGUACGGUACUGACGCUGAGACGCGAAAGCGUGGGGAGCGAACAGG
rnacentral:rRNA from 1 species